GUUGGAGUACACUUACCGUGUCGGCGGUUAUCUUCUUAGUGUUGGAGAGAAGAGGAUCCACGUGGUUCAGUGAGAGCACGUGGCCGAAGCGUCGCCUUCAGCUACCGGGAGCUGUGACGAGUUUGAGAGACAAAGCCGCGAGGUUUUUGAAGUGUUUUCCUGGGAGGUGCCAAGAUAAUACACCAAGCAAGCAAACUUCUUCAAAAUAUCUAUGGAUGCAGUGAAGACUUGUAAUACAUAGACGAAUUAACAUUUUGUCAUCACUAAAAUUUCGACCAAAAAGACGAAAACGCCUAGAAGUAGUUUCCCUUUUUGAUGGUGUAUCAGUUGAAAACUAUACAGAGCGUCUUACUAUAUCUUUGACAAUAUCCUUGAUCCUUGAGCUUUGGACAACUUGUGGGUAAUUUAUGAUUAGGUAAGUAUCAGUCUAUAUUUGCAUAAAAUACAAUUUGACCAUAGAUUCAAUUUGUGAUUACCAAAAUUGAUCUUUAAUUUCGCGACAUAAACAACAGCCAGUGUCCUUUUGCUUUGCGAACUUGUCAUCACUCUACCGCGUGCCCAGAGCCGUAUUUCCUAUUUUACGGGCCGUGGAUGAAACAUUACUUUCGCUGAGCCUUGAUUUUUCCAACCAUCUUUUUCUUAUGGCUACUUUUUUAAAAACUCAACCCCCAAAUGACUAUAAUGUGGGGGGGGGGGUGAAAAUUUGUAUGAAAAUCGUAUCUCCGCUUUCGCCGUGAAAUUUACGCGGGCAGAACCAAAGGAAAAAGCUAGUCAUUUAUAUUGGUAAUCCAACCAAAUGGUAAUCAUGAUGUUAAAAUUACUAUACCUAGUACUUAUUUCUAACCUAGGUACAUUAUGUAUAUUUUAGACUUAUAGUAAAAUGUCUGCUUUGUACAAGCUUUUAUUUAGCUUACAAUGUAUGUAUGAAAGUUACUAUCUCACUAUGAUUGUUCGGGUUCAAUUUUGAUGCAAAUGUCUUCAACCGAUUGAGCUGAAAUGUUGUAUAACUACACGUCAUUUAGUUUUAGUGAUAAUGCUUAUUAUUCUACGCAUGGGCAUAUGUUGUACCCAGAGGAUUGGCUCUCGACGAGGGAACCCCUCAGCGGUUUACGGUUUGGGCAUGAUUUUAUUGCCAUCUGUUGAAUGCAACAAAAUCUCUCGGGCGACAAUAAAAGCUUGUGUCAAAAUUUAAUUUUUGUAAAAAAAAUUGUAGUUUUUAAAAGUACAUAGGUACUUUUAAAAACUACCUAUAUACCUACGGUUAAUGUGCGACCGUCCAAAGUACAGUCUGUUAUGCUUUGCAUAUCAGAAAGACUUUUUGUAUUUUUGGUAAGUUGUGUAGUUGACUGUAGUUUCAAAUUAACACCAAGUAGGUAGGUAUUUUAUUUCUAACACCCUAAGCCCUUUGAGAAUUCGUCAACAAAGAACAACUUACAACGUUAUUACUUUUUUCUCAGAAAGAAUAUAGGUAGCGUACCUACCUACUUACGAAGUUUAUGAACGUGUCAGAGGCCCGGAGGUGACCGUGAGCCGUCCACCCCUGUUAUCUGACAACUAGGCACAAACAUAAAAUGAACCAGCCAACACAACGGUUGAAGAUACAUUGUACGCUUUAUUAAAUUUUAUUUCAUUACUGGCUGUAACGCUGUCAUUCGAUUCGUAGAUUCUUAAAAAAAAAAGAAAUUCAAAAUCGGCAAAAUAUCUACCUAUUUUUUUGCUCGCUGUACCUAAGGAAUAUCUAGCUAUAGAUUGAUCUAAUAGGUUGGUUUAUAGGUCAUUGUAACGAAGGUCAUUGUAACCAUAGAUAAAAGAAAUUAAGUAACAUAAUGGAUUUAGUAAGUCGGAGUACCUACUAAUUCCAUGAAUAGUAACUGUAGUAGGUAGGUACCUAUGUAGGUGCAAAGUACGUAAAAACAUAAAAAUAAUGGGAAUGGUUUAUAAAAUUAUUGUAAUUAUAAAUCACAUCAAUUUCGAUUAUAAGUAGUAGGUAUAUGUGGCUUUGUGGUCCCUAGUAAAUUUUAUUUUUCCAACAAAAAGUCAUUUCGCCCCAACCGCUCCAGUUAAAUUGCUAUUUUCGCAAUGUCAUUGAAGACAAAGGUCGCUGACCUGACACUGCUUCGGACAUCGUGAUGCCAACAAUGGAUUCAUUUUGAUAAAAUCGAUGUAUUUGUGGCGAUAUCUUUGAUACUUAUGGCUUUUAUGAAAGUUUUAUGCAUAGACAUACUACCUAAUUAGAUACUAAGUAAAUAGGUACAUUUUUCAUUCGGAGAAUCUCAUUCAACAUGGAGAUGUGGUGUAUUUUCGGUCUCGUUUAGACAUAAUAGCAAAUUUUUGAGAGUCUCGAUAGUUAUAAGUUAAUUAGAAUCGAAUUUCACGAUAAAAGGGCGACCUCUGCGCAUACCUACAUAAUGUCAUUCUACCCGUGUAGGUACAAAUUUCAACGAAUUCCCUACAGCAGAUUUUGCGUAUUUGCAGCUUAUUGUGUUGUGAUUCUGUAUAUAACACUUAUAAACGCAAAUGAAAUGCCUCUGAAACGUCCGUCUAACCAUUUCUCCCUAGUUUCAUGUGAAUUAAUAUUUAAAUGUAUAUAAAACUCUGCGCGCCCGUCUGCCCUUCACGUUCGAAGGUAAACGCGCGGCCAAUCCGCGAGCAGACAUGUUUUUUUUUUUUUUGCUUGCGAUUUUGUCCGACUUGGCUGUAUGAGUAGCGGUGCUGUCGGCAGUUCUAUAGGUACGAUGCAUAAGUUUUUAAUUCGUCCCACAGAGUAUAUGUAUUAUUAAUAUAUUUACUCAUAGUUUCAUUUAUUUUAUUUACUGUGACUGGAUUAACAAUAUGACAGCAUAGAUCAAUUAAAAAGAAAAAAAUAAGCAGUUUGAUGUAUCUAUGUAUGACAGCUAGUUACUUUACGUAGACAUUAGUAAUCGUUAUUUUAUAAUAUUAUUAUAUUAUAAUUAUAUAGUAGGUAUUUAAUGAAGAAAAAAAAAACACAGCGAAUGCAAUGAACAAUUUGCAAUCCAAACCUAUAUCAUCGAAUCGCUAGGGAAGAUAAAAUGAUUGUUAAUAAGUUGAAGAUUCGACGAUUGCUCAAAGGUCGUCUCGAGGUUACAAGUAAUCGAAUAAUCCCCUCGUCACCCCAAGGUAGAGGGAGCCACCCGCGACCUACCCCAAUGUCCUUGCCUAGGGAAAGGUCAAGAAUAAAUAGUAGGGCUUUGGCUAAAGAUCAAAACAAUGUUGAUGCCGCGCGACAGAAAAGUAAACGAGGUUUUUUUUAAAUAUUUAAAAUUUUUAAAACAAGAUUAAAGUACCUACAUUGCCGCUCGAUUCCAGAAUGUUUUCAUCUCAUUUACUAUUUUCAAAAAUAAGAUUAAGUACAGUCAACACCAUAUCAAGUUAAGCUGGAUGAACUUCUAUGGCGCGGUACCCACCUAAUAGCGGCGAGUUUGCAAUGAAUUUGGUUCCUGAUAAAAGCAAGUGAUACGAAGUCUCUAGAAGAUAAAUAAAAUAUAUCUAUCAUACGGGAAAAGCGAUCGCGCUGGAGGCAAACAAUAUGAUUGUGUUCCCUGUGUUACACUCACCUCUGUGACGUCCCAAAUCCCGAGGACUCAGAAACAACUGUCAAGGUCUUUUUCAUGGGGCUUUUUAUGCCUCAGUUGCCUCGUACGACCUAUAUGGAGUUAUAUAAAUAGGUCGGGAAUAUAUGUAUUCAGCCAGCUCCACGACGUCGUCGUCACGAACAAAUCGCCGACGCGAUGCGUGAACAUUGCUUGGUAUGAGUGCUUUUAUUUACCGCAAAUGAUCGAAAACGAGCAAUGUAUACCGAAUCCUCGUAAAGUUUGGCAAAAUGUUUGACAACAUUGUGGAGCCGGCGGCGUUAGUUGAAAUCUAAACAUAUUUUGCGUCAUUAAACCUAUAAAAUGCUGUUCAACUUUCGCUAAGGCUUCAUUUCCAUACCUGUUGGUGUAACUGGGUUCUUAUAAUAAAGUAUAAUAUUAGUAUCCAAUGGAAGUUUAUUGUGUAGGGAAUAUGUAAUUAAGUCUAGUUAUUUUUUUUAAUUUGGGAAGUAAUCAUAUAUAGGUAUAAUAAAUCGGAAGAAGGGUCAAAUUUGUGCAUUGUAUAUCUUUUGGAAAUUCUUACUGGAAUACACUUAUCUCUAACGACAUAAAUUACAAACCUACAAUUUUUCAUAUUUUUAUAUAUCUGUCUGAACGCGCAUCACGCAAAAUCUUUAAGUAGUUGAAGUAUGGUAAGUACAUAUGUAUAGUUUAUUCCGAAGUAAUCUUUGAUUCCCGUGGAAAAGUCAAAUAUUUAAUUAAUUCGUUUGCCUUCAUAUCAAAUUUCAAGUAACUCGGAUGUGUACGUAGUUCAGUUUAUCUCCGUCGGCUACUUGAAAUUUGGUAUGAAGGCAAACGAAGUCGCGGGCACAUAAUAAUCUUGCAUAACUUGACGUAGCUUGAGUCACAUAAGUGGUUGUAAUAAUAAAAUAAUUAAAAUUACAAUUGACAUAUUUACAAAUGUAAUUUAAAAUAAAUAAUGUAAAAAUACCCAUAAGUAUGUUUCUGUUGUAAUUAAAAAUAAAAAUGUUUUUCACAUAAAAUUGUAUAAGAUUUGGUAAAAAUUAAAAGUGGUAAUUGUAAUCUUAAUUUUACUUAGAUGGCAAUAUUGUUUGCACAUAUAUACCUAUUACGGUAUUUCGAUCAAUUUGAAUUAAAUAUAAACUUUAUGAGAAAAAGAAUAAAUGAAUUUGUUAAUAAAA